rnacentral:rRNA from 1 species
UACCGAGGUCUCAAGCGUUGUUCGGAUUCAUUGGGCGUAAAGGGUGCGUAGGUGGCGCCAUAAGUCAGGUGUGAAAUCUCGGAGCUCAACUCCGAAACUGCACUUGAUACUGUGGUGCUUGAGUACUGGAGAGGAGAUUGGAAUUUACGGUGUAGCAGUGAAAUGCGUAGAUAUCGUAAGGAAGACCAGUGGCGAAGGCGAAUCUCUGGACAGUUACUGACACUGAGGCACGAAGGCCAGGGGAGCAAACGGG